rnacentral:lncRNA from 1 species
AGCUGGGUAAAGGGCACAGGGAUCAGUCUGUCAAAGGUAGGGGAGGAUCGUGAGAGGAGAGGGUCUAAGAGAGGAGGAGCAUGGGCUAGGCUCUGUAUUUGGGCUUGGCAGGGAUUGAGAGAAGGGACAAGGCUGUUAGAGGGCAGUGCGAGCGGGGUCGGAGAUGGGGGCAAGGCCUGAAAAGUUCAGCUGCUUUAGAUCAACUGUGCCAGAGAAUCACUGGUUGAAGUGACUGAAAGCUCUGACCUGGGGCUGUCCAAAAUCCUCUUCCUCAGAUGGGAACAUGCCAAAAGCUCAGCCUCUGAGGUGAAUGUUGUGGCCCUAACCUCUCUCUGCUCUGUACCUCACAGGAUUCCAGCCGGCUGUUCCAAUCCAGGAGGAAAACUGUGCCACUGAAGUCUCCCAGCACCUGUGCAGUGAAGUGCCACUUAACCCCACUGUGAUGCACAGACCUUGCCCUGGCUGUCUGCACAGGGCUGAAUUUCACCCCUUCAGAGUGUAUUCUAAGGGACCCCGUGCGUCAUAUGGGCAUUCUUGGGAGUGCGGACUGCAUCAGACCUGCACCUGAAUAAAUAAUAGGGACUGAAAUAUGCAGACACUAAAGUUCUGCAGCCAAAUUCUCAGAAACCUUCCUCUGCAAUGUAGGAUCAGGAUUUUGGUUUGAAUUGAUUUUUUUUUUUAACGUGCUGAGCAGAUGCUACCCUGUAAGAAGAGGAAACAGAAGCAAAAACUGAAAAACAGUUGCUAAAACCAAUGAACAGCUGCAGAGAGUGGAGACCCGGGAAAGCAAACAAAUGAAUACUGUGAGUAAAUAACCUGAAAGCAAAUGGGGAAGAAAACCUUAUCUGGG